ensembl:lncRNA
CUAUGUCUGAGAGCAUUGUUUGAAUGCUCCUUGAACUCUGGCAGCUUUAGGCCAUGCCCACUGCCCUCUGGCUAAGAGCUUGUCCCUAAUCCCCAACAUGACCCUCCUCUGACACAGCUCCAUGCCGUUCCCUCGGGCCCUGUCACUGUCACACAGAGCAGAGCUCAGCGCUGCCCCCCUGCUCCCUGUGAGGAGCUGCGGCCGCCAUGAGGCCUUCCCUCAGCUCCUCUGCUCUGGGCUGAGCAAACCCAGGGACCUCAUCUGCUCCUCAUACAUCUUGCCCUCUAGACCCUUCCCCAUCUUUGUAGCCCUCCUUUGGCCACAUUCUAAUAGUUUUAUGUCCUGUUUGUACUGUGGCACUUAAAACUGCACACAGUGCACCAGUGCAGUGCAGAGCAGACAACAGAAGAGAAGGUGUCUCCAUCUGCAGCUUGCUAAGCUUCAACACUGCACUGCUGUUUGUCUCAUUUUUAAAAUUGCCAAAUUUUUUUUUGCUUUUCCCAAGGUUUUUUUUCCUUCAAACAAUGUGACAAAAUUACUUCCAGACUUGUUCAUGAGCUCCUGAAGAGGUACUUCGUAGGCAUGCCUAAGUGUAGAACAGCAAGAAAAUGGCAGUCAGAGCAGUUUGUGGAGAUGUGUUUGUUCAGAAGCACUGUAGGUCAUUGGCAUGACAACUAUGAGAGCCACUCUUGGCCUCUUCAUUUUCCUGCUUUCAUAUGCUUGGAUUUCUUAAUUGGUGUGAUGAUUAUAAAUAUUACAGCUUCCCUAUCAUAAUUCUUAACAAUUUACUUUAUUAUAAAUCUGCCCAGAUGAGAUGGUAAUGAGUCCAUAAAAAGAUCUAAACUGCUCGUUAGAAUAGCAUUGUUCACAGGUUAACUACAACAUGUCUUCUAUGCAAAGUAUUUAUUUCUUCAUUAAGGUGGCCAUCCUGCAAAGGCUGUCUUCUUUUCCAUGUAUGUUUUAUGCAAAUGUAUAUCCAGUGGCAGAUUUACAGGUUGAAUAGAUACACUAAACUCAGUCAUAAUAACGCUCCCAUCAUUAGGGGCCUUGAGUACUCUUUGCUAGAUGGUCACUAGAUGUAUACAUGAACAUAAAAUUCCUACACAUAUAGGCCUGCAAGAGCAAACUGCUGACUCUGCGAGAGCAAACUGAUGACUACAAUUUAGGACUGGAGUAUGGAGAUCUGUGGGCAUGCUGCAGCUUAGAAAAAUAAACUUGAAUUUUCUGAUACAGUCCAUUUUUAUUGACGUCACUGUGAAUUUAGGUCAGAUCUUCAAGACCUAUAUAGAAAUAUCUGACAGGUCACAAUUGCAUGUAUGCAUGCAAACAUAAAUGCCCUCACUUGGACACAAGAGAUAGCUAGCAUUGUCAUAAUAAAGGGAAAUUUAUCUGUGGCUUCUAAAAAGAACAAAUGCAGCAGUACUCUGUAUCACAGCUGGCACUUUGGUACGCUUUAGUGGUUAUAAAUGAGGUUCUUUAGUAAUUGUAUUGCAUACAAUUAAAAUACCGAUAUUAUUAAGGAUGAUGCAUAGAGCCCAUAAGCACAAUAUAAUCCAUCCAUCCUUGCCAAUGAGAUUAACAGAAGCCAUCUUGGAUAAUCAGUGCCUCAGGAAAGCUUGGCCAGAAAUACUGUGACAAAACUCUGCAUCUUCCAAAAUUGUCAGAAGCUCUUUCAUCUCAGGAUCUAAGGUUUUCACUGGCAAAAAUGACUAACGACUGUGGUGCUCUCUACAUUUUGGGGCAGCCACACUGAUGUUCCUCCAGGCUGUGUUUCAGCAGGUGAUUGGCACCCCCCGUGACACAUUCCUGUUGUCAGAGAGCCAAGCAGGACACCAGUCCUUCCUGGAUUUACUUUUUUUAAGGUUGCAGCUGAAAUAGCCACAUCAAUUAAGAUGCUUAUUUCUGGGUGUUUUCUGUUCCUGCACUCCCUCUUCUGGCUUUCUAGAAUUAUUUAGCAAACUUCUUAUGCUCACAACAUCAGAACAACUCCACUGUGUUAUGACACAGCACAGUUAUAACGACAGCACGUGUUUGGCAGCAGACACCAUGGGAAAGACUGCUAUUAAAUAAAUUAGAACAUGCCCCCAGCAUCCACACACUUCUGUAAAUAUACAUUCCAAGCAAGUUUUGGAGAAAAAAAUACUAGUGCUAUUGGAGCAAUAGUUGCAAUGCUGUCUGUGGGUGAGCAGGGGGCUUCAAUGGGCUGUGCGCAGUGGCUCUCUUGCUUGCUGUCUCUCAGGAACAUUCAGUAUAACAGUGCGCUUACCUUUGUCCCCACAAUCUGGAAAGUACUUCACGUAUUCUCUUCUAAACUGAACCACAAUAGCAUUGUUAAAUACACAUUCUCCCACACCGUUUGAAAUCGAAAUAUUAUAGUCGUGUGCGGCUGAAAUUGAUCUUUUAUGAUUUCCAUUGAUGAACUUGAGAGACAAAGGAGGAAGAUCAAAAAUGUGGUGCUAAAGGUUUAAAAUAGAAAACAUUUAAAGUACUGUUCAUUCUUAAUAUUCUUCCAAGCAUCCCUCCUACCGCCUGGUAUAUGUGCUCAUUUUCACUGCUGAUGCCAGCCCCUAAGAGAGGACACACAGAAACAGCUCCUGCACCAACAGUGGAAGGUGGGGUAAACAAAACUUUCGUACAUCUCACUGUGUGUUCACAAUGUCCUUUUCUAAGCUGUAAACACAUCCUGCUUUUAUUUCAGGACCAUAAUACGGGUACACAGACAUAGAAAAAAAUCUCAAUAUUACGUAGUCCAGCUGCACACUGAACAGCCAUCUGCUUGGGACUACUCCCAUCCUUCAUUGAGAACACUAUAUUUGGCCAUCAGGAACUCUCGAGACGAUUUGAUAAGUGGCUUCAUAACACAAAAUCAUAGAAUCAUUAAGGUUGGAAAAGACCUCCAAGAUAAUCUAGUCCAACUGUCAACCCAUCAUCAAUAUUGCCCACUAACCAUGACCCUCAGUGCCACAUCUACGUGUUUCUUGAACACCUCCAGGGAUGGUGACUCCACCACUCCCCUGGGCAGCCUGUGCCUGUGCCUGACUACUGUUUCAGAGAAGAACUUUUUUUUCCCUAAAAUAAUAUCUAUGUGGACCUUGUAUUUUCAGUUUCAGAGUUCUACCUUAACAAAGCAGUGUAAGAAGGUGCUUUGAAAUGUAUAUUGACCGUAGGAACCAACACAUCCCAGUCUGGCUUCUCUGUGGAUUUUACCAUUGGAGGAGGUCCCAAAGCCCAGUGGCUCUGAGGAAGUGCCUCAUAACUGUGGGGAAUUCCUGCCACGGAGACAUCUCACAUGCUAUGCAGAGCCACGCAGUGCCCGUGCUCCACUCCUACAAAUACAGCAGCGCGUGGCUCAGGCCCAACUCCCUCAGCCUGUCCUCAUAGGAGAGGUGUUCCAUCCCUUGGGUCAUUUCUGUGGCCCUCCUCCGGAUGCACUCCAACAGCUCCAUGUCUCUCCUGUACUGAGGACUCCACAUCUGGACGCGGUACUCCAGGUGAAGUCUCACCUCAGGGCAGGCAGAGCAGAGGGGCAGGAUCACCUCCCUCUCCCUGCUGGCCACUCUUCCUUUGAUGCAGCCCAGGAUACGGUUGGCUCUUCUUUUAAAAAGACAAGAAAUUUUACUCCACCGCUUUUCCAGCGAGCGGCACCGCUGUCAAACCUCGGGGGCCGGCGGGGCGGGGCGGUGAGGGGCUCCCAGCCGUGCUACUGCCGCCCCCUCCCGGCCGGGCCGGGGGAGGCUCUGCUCGGGGUGCCCCGUGCCGGGCUCGGAGCUGCUCGCUAGGGUCGGGGCGUAGCGGUACGCGUGGCAAAGUGCCCGCCGCGGGGCCGAACGGCGGUGCGGGUUCUGCCGGUUAAAGGAAUUAAACUAACCGUAUUGUAAAGGCAGCGAGGACGGUGGGAACUCUCCUCCGGAGCCGUGCGGGAGGAGGCACAGCCGUGACCGAAGAAAGGCGGCUGGGCCCGUCCGGUCCCCGCAGGUGCCGGAGCCCCGCGGGCUGCACGUCGCGGCCCGGCCAGCAGGAGGAAGGAAGAGGAAGUGCGAGCGGCGGCGGCG